CAGGACUAAGACCUCCCGCCACACCAACAGUUUCUUGCAGUGGGGCUCAUCAACAGAGCCGGUCCCCCACUGACUGACUAUAACAGUCCACCGGUCGCUCCCCUUCACACUGCACACGUCACUUUAACUGUCAUUCAUCACUUUGUCGUCACUCGUCACUUUGUCACUUGUUCGAUAGUGCACUUUAUUUUUAAUAUUUUUUUAACUUUUUAAUUAUUUUACAUUUUUAACUUUACUCUUAUUUUAUACUAACCCAUAGCCUUAUUAUACUAACCCAUUGCAUUAGCAUUUGAUUUUAUUACUUGUGCACUGCUGUCUUGUUGUCUGUUGUCUGUUUUAUGUCUACUGCCAACCGCAAAAACAAAUUUCUUGUAUGUUUGACAUAUUUUGGCAAUAAAUGUUUUCUGAUACCUGAUUCUUGAACUAUCUGAGAUAUCCAGCGGGUGGCAGUAAAGGAUCAAUCAUUUCUAAAAAAUGACAUCUUAACACCUACUGACACAUAACCAAAGUUUAACCACGCAUCUAUUGGAAUGGAGAAAUACUGACAACAAUUCCUGUUUUACUUAAAUGAACUUUUAUGAUAUUUCUGUCAUUUGAAGAGAAAGUGAAAUACUUUUGUUUCUAAGAAAUGAGCGUAUGAGCGUGAGCUGCUUGUUGGGUCACGUGAAAAACAAGUCAGUGAGUUUUAUGCUUCUUUUUGAGUCCCAAAAUGUGUUUUGUCUCUUUUGGUUAAAUGACUGAAUGUAAAACCUAAUGGAGGCGAUCUAACCGGCCCGUGCUCCUACGUUUGCUCCUACGUUUGCUCGUACAUUUGCUCGUACAUUUGCUCGUACAUUUGCUCCCAUGUUUGCUCUACGUUUGCUCUACGUUUGCUCUGUUUGCUCUACGUUUGCUCGUACGAGGCGAUGUGUCUUUUGAGUUGUUCUGAAGGACAGAAGACACGUGACCACUGAAGGUCACUGAUCCAAGGUUGCAGGUCGCUGAUAAGUUGUUGUCUAAUCAGCGUGUUUCUCUACCGGUUAAUAAUCCUGGAUCUUAUCCUCAGUGGUUUUAUAAUGCGUCGUGAGAUCAGCGUGAACACAACAUGACGCUAAAGCCAGAAUUAUGUCUCGUAGAAAGAAAUCAUCCAAAAUACACAUUGUGAUGUACUUCACAGCUUCAUUGCUCACACAU
ensembl:lncRNA